GGCUGUGCUUCUUCGGCAGCGCGCCCCACUCCCGCUGCUCCUCCUCGUGCACGAGGCGCGUGAAGAUGUUGAUCCUCCUCUUCUCGCGCCGCUUGGAGCGGAAGUACCCGAGCAUGAUGCCGCAGAGGAAGACCCCGUAGAAACACAUGACGAUCAGGAUGUACAGCUCUUCUGGAGUUUGGCAGCACUAACAAAUGGAUCAAGUUAUUUAUACAGAGAGCCUGGAUGGUCAUCACGAGUCACGUGACGGGGACUGAUCGUAAGAUGAGUCCUGUAGCUGUGGAAGCCCCGAAGGAACUCAUCAUAUAAAGAAACAUCACUGACACCUCUGGGGGAUUCUUAAUACAAACAACUAAAUACAUAGGAUUUUUCAAUUUGCUUGCAAAUGAACCUAAGACCAUAUGAAUCAAAUCAUGAUGGACAGACUACAAUCAAGAAGAAAAUGAUUUAUUUUCUGACAACCACUGCAAACAACACCAAUGUGAUGCAGAGAGAGAGGCAGGUAUACCUUAAUUCCAAGAGGAAAACUGCAUCUGUACCAGUAAAUAUUCUGACCAUUUACUGUAGGUCUGCAGAAGCAACCAGAGCCUUUAGAGAAGGAUAGUGCCAACACAACAAUGCACACAUAAGUGAAUGUAUUCAUGCAUAAUGCAAAAGUAUAAAGUAAAAGUACUUGUUCCCUUGUUACUGAAAUGAUUUUAUACUAAAUUAGUCUCAAUGUGUUGGCAGCAUUUUACUGUUGGGGCUGCUUGAUUUAUGUAUUAAUUUAUGUUCAUUUUGAUAGUUCAGGGUAGAGUGGUAUUAUAGUGACUGAUGGGUGUUUUUCUGCAAUCUUUUGUUGUGUAAUUUGUGUGAUAAAGAUGCGAGGAUAAUUUUUAUGAUAACAACUCAGACAUGACAAGUGGCUCCAGCCACUGCCAAACAGGCUCUGCAAGUAUAGUGGAGUUUAAAGUUACAAUAUCUCCCUCUGAAAUGUAGUCAAGCUGAAUAUAUAAUGUUAAACGAGUAUUUCAAGUACUCGAACCGGCAUUAACUGAUUUUUCACUCGCAUUGGAAUCAGACCAGUCGGCAGGGUGAACAGCAAACAGAUGCUAACACAUAUAGCAGCCUUGAAGCAACAUUAUCCUUCUGUUAUUAACAAUCGUUUGUGUUUAUUAUGAAAUUUACUCUCACAAGAUUUGUAAUUCAUUGGGGGGGAUUUAGAUUUCUAAAUUCAUGUCAAAUCAACACAACAAAUAAUUUUUGAAUUUAUUGUUAAUUGUUUAUAUUGUGAUUAUAUAUUGUGAUAUGGAGCCCCGUAACGGUGGCAGAGAAUAAAAGCCAAAUAACAAAUAACACCUUCAUUUAGAGUCAUGUUUCUGGCCAGGGGGUGAUAGUCAAAUAUUUCAUCUCUUUUAGCUCCAUUUUCGGUCUCCACCAACUUUUGGCGAUAGAUCUUUCUCUAACUAUCAAAUGCUCCAUUAUGUUCAUCGGCUAGUUACCGUUUUUUACUUAUUUUCCACCACAGCAAAACGAUGCGUUAAAUCGCAGAUUAUGGAAACAAAGGAUUUUAAAACAGUGAUGCUUCACACUCUUAGUGAGCGUGUAUGGCAGCUAGCAGGUAGUUAGCAUAGCCAUGCAGUGUGUAACCUAUGGAUUGUAUAAAGAUAAGAUGUAGCCGUGGUGGCUCUGGUUUAACAGCACCGUGGUGAGCAGCUGACACCAAGAAGGGUUCUCAGUGUUUGUGUUUUCUAAAAGACGUCACCGUGCGGAGAAGAGGUGAAAAUUAGAACGUCGGCCUGGGUGUCGUGUUUACAUCACUGGAGCCGUGGGACUUUAUUAAUGUUGUGAUGGUCUGGUGUGAUUAGGAGGAACCAGUAAACCACUACAUUCUUAUACAGAAGAUGUAGUGGGGAUUCAGUGUCUUAUUGCUUUACAUUAAAUAAUUUUAUAUUGAUUCAAUUAAAGUGUUUAUUUUUUCACCAUAUGAAUAGCACUGGUAUAAUAUCAUCUCUAAAUGACUGAUUUAAUUCAAUAGCCUGACUGAACUGCACCCUUUCCACCAGGCAGCCGGGGACGAGUAUUAUUCACCCCUCAAAACUGUAAUGAGUGGUGAGCAUCAGUGGUUAUUUUGAAUUAGGUCAUUGUUAUUGAAUCAGUGAGGGCGGACUUCACUCUUAAGUGUGUGAUCAGGCAUGAAUGAAUGUCAUCAUCUGUCUGCCUUCACAUACUAAAUGUGAUCACCACUUUGUUUUUCACUCAUUUGACUCAGUGACUGUGGCAGAAAUAUAAAACAAUGAAACACUCCUGUUUGUAGACCAAACACAAUCUUUAUUUACUUCAUUUGAGUAUUUUACAAAAGCAAAAUUACAAAUAAAUAGUUGGAUGCACUUAUGUUACAAGGCAGGUUCUCAAUACAGAGAGCGGGUGAAACUUCAAAAUGGUCCAAGGUCAUGAAGUUAAAAUAAAGGAGGGACUUGUGUUUCCACUGCUGAUCGCUGCUCAAUAUACUACACAUGUAGCAUAUGCACAGUUAAAGAAAAACUUCAAAUUAAAAGUCAGUAAGGAAUUAGAAAAGCACAAUAUAUUAUGAGGGAUGCUGGAGCCAUGUUUGUGCUGUGUAUCGACUUAAGCAGUCACACUGUCAUACAAAUGCAGAUCACUAAAGGUCCAGUAUGUAAGAUUUGAAUAUAAAUAAAUCCUAGUGAGGUUCUCACUAGCGUGUGUUCACCUAAAUUGUAGUAUUGUUUUCUUUACCCCUUGAAUGGGCCCUGUGUAUUUAACA